AGCCAUGCUGGGCUCAUGUUAGGAGCAGCUCUGGAGUGAGAAAAUCUUUUAGCUAGAGGCUGCUUUGUGAAGAUGGAGCACUGCAUAGCCAGAGAGCCUCUUCACUAGUUGGGUUCACCAGCAACACUCAGAGCACUGCAAGAUUACUUUUUCACCCAAAAGCUUUCAUCUUUUGACAAAAAUGAAAUAAUCAUUAAGAGACGGCCUCAUCCAAAACCCAAGGAAGUCAAUGCACAGUCUGAAACUUUGGUGAAGUAUUCAUCACAUUCCAAGGCCCGGGUUCACAAAGGAUUUUAAGGUUCAGCUUGCCCUGAAGAACUGGGAAGAACUAAAAGUCUGGAUGUCUACAAAGAAGUCCUCUGCUCUAACUCCAGAAAGGCUCAUGCUGGAAGAUGCCUCUGGAGGUCAUCUAGUCCAAGCCCCUACUGAAGCAUCAGCAGCCACAGCGUGCUGUCCAGGACCAUGUGCAGACAAGUUUUGAAUAACUCCAAGAAUGGAGACUCCACAACAAUCUGGGUCACCUGUGCUAGUGCUCAGUCACCCUCGCAGCAAAAAAGCUUUUUCUUGUGUUUAGGUGGAAUUUCAUGUAUUUUAUUUUAUCCCAUUGCUGAGGGUACAUUCUGUCCUACCAUCCAAGUCUAUUAGAGAUUAAACACUGUUGGCCCCAGUACUGAACUCUGGGGUACACCACUAGUCACUGGCCUCAAGAUGGGUUUAAUACUGCUAAUCACAACCCUCUUGAGUCUGGCAGUUCAGGCAGUUUUCAGUCCACAUCACUGUCCCAUUAAUCUAGCCCAUACUUACAUGAGGUUUUUAUGAUAGAAUCAAAAGCCUUACUAAAGUAGAGGUAAAUAACAUCUACUGUUCUCUUUUCAUCCAUCCAGCUAGUCAUCUCAUUGUGGAAGUCUGCCAGGUUGGUCAGACAUAAUUUCCCUUUGAUCAAUCUGUGCUGACUUUUCCUGAUCACCUUUCUAUCUUUCAAGUGUCUGGAAAAUGUUCUCAGAACUAUUUGAUCUAUCACCUUCCCAGAGACUGAAGUGAAGCUGUCCUGCCUGUAGUUGCCUGGAUCCCAUUCCUUGCCCUUUUUGAAGAUAAGAGUUACAUGUGCUCUUCUCCUGUGGUCAAGAACCUUCUCUGGUCACUAUGACUUUUCACAGAUAAUCACGAGCAGCCUUGCAACAACACUGGCCAGCUCUUGGGUGCGUCCUAUCAGGGCCCAUGGACUUGCGUGUUUCUAAUUUGUUCAUAAGUUCCCAUCGAGGGAAAGUCUUUCUUGCUCCAGAACUUCCUGGUAAAGACUGAGGGGAAGAAGGCACUGAGCACCUUGGCAUUUUGCAUAUCCUUUGUUACCAUGGCCCUAUCCCAUGCAGCAACAGGCCACAUUUCCCUCAGUGGCUCCCAGCAGCUAGCAAGCCUGGUGCUACAGUCCAUCACGAUGUGCCAACAUGGUACUUCAUGUGGAUAUUUAGGUAUGCUAGCAAUUAACAUAAACAGGGCACAACAUCAACAGAGGCUUGGCUACAUCUUACCUUUCUGCACAACAGAAAUUCAAGCUGUGUAUUCAACAGUGUGCUGAGAGAUGCGGCAGCUGACUUAGAGAGUCUAGGUUUAAUGAAACUGUAUUUUCUCCUCUCUAACAGAUACCUUACCUUUCCCUUUGUCUGCCCUGUUGCUUGCCCUGAGCUCAGCUUGCUCUGAUGGGAGGUAUCCUCAGCCAGUCAGUCAUCCCCUCAGGCGGGGUGAGCUUCUGUUGCUCCGUUUUUGGCAAAAUCUGCAGCACAGAUUUCUAAAUGUCUUGUAUUUAUUUUAUUGCAUUUUUUUUUUGUGUCUGUGCAUGAAACCUUAUGUCUGAUGGGUAAACACUGGGUAAACAUUUUUCAGAGAGACUUCUUAUUUUUUAAUAAACAGAGUAAUUUUCUCAAAUAGCUUCUUUCUUACUCCGCUUCAUAAUAUCCUGUGGAAAUAGAUGGUCUGUUUCAACA